UGGGGCGGGAGCCUGAAACCAGCCAAGUCGCGUGAGGGAAGACGGUCCUAUGGAUUGUAAACCUCUUUUGUCGGGGAGCAAAGAGGCCACGUGUGGUCAAAAGCGAGAGUACCAGAAAGAAAAAGCAUCGGCUAACUCCGUGCC
rnacentral:rRNA from 1 species